UACGUAGGGUGCGAGCGUUGUCCGGAAUUACUGGGCGUAAAGAGCUCGUAGGUGGUUUGUCGCGUUGUUCGUGAAAUCCCGCAGCUUAACUGCGGGCGUGCGGGCGAUACGGGCAGACUGGAGUACUGCAGGGGAGACUGGAAUUCCUGGUGUAGCGGUGGAAUGCGCAGAUAUCAGGAGGAACACCGGUGGCGAAGGCGGGUCUCUGGGCAGUAACUGACGCUGAGGAGCGAAAGCGUGGGGAGCGAACAGG
rnacentral:rRNA from 1 species